rnacentral:RNase_P_RNA from 1 species
AGAGAGGGAGUUGGAUGUCGCCGGCGGCCCUGCCGCGGGAGGAAAGUCCGGACACCAUAUGACAGCAUAGCGGGUAACGCCCGUCCACCGUGAGGUGAGGACAAGUGCAACAGAAAGAAUGUACAGAGACUUAGGUCUGCUGUAGUGAAAUCAGGUAAACUCUAUGUGGUGCAAGCUCAAAUAGGCCUAUGACGUGCUUUCACAUAGGACGGUCAGUCCGAGUAGGCGGGUAGAGUGCUCGAGGCCUUAAGUAAUUAAGGCCCUAGAUAAAUGAUAUCCCUAGACAGGAUCCGGCUUACUCUUCCUCUCUUCUU